UUUUCUUUUACUGUACGCGUAUAUAAUGCGGGGCGCGACAUGAAUCGGAACCAGGACGCUCGGGGAGUCGUUCUGACCGGCUACAUCAGCAACAGCGAGGCGUUCGCUCCGGUGUGUGCGGCUGCUGCGAGCCCCGGGGACGAGCCUGAAGCUCCGGGACCGAGACUAUGCGGAUCGUCCGCUGUGAACGAGCCGUUACUAUAGAAACGAGAACGUAUCGGAACGAGCGCGUGAAUAUAAUAUAAACCGGCGCUACUGUCAGAGCUGCUGUUCUGGAAAAUGAAAUCAAGACCUUUCUGACCAAUCAGGACACAGAUGGUAGUAAGACAUCGUGCAUGGGUUGGAGUUUUAAUGAAUUCAUUUCUUUAAUCAUGGAGAUGUCGAAAUGUCUUCUGAUGGAGGUCCGUCAUGACUCUGAAGCCUUAAAGAAUCCCAACGAGACACGAAGGAGGAAUAACCGCCGGUGACGCUGUCACGAUGUAAGGCCCGUGAGGUCGGUAUGAGUGCUAAUAUGUUGACGAGUUGCACGCCACAGUGCCGGAGUUAUUUAUACACGCACGGUUGUUUUUCAUCAGUGACGGGACACAAUGCGGCCUUUCUCCUCUCGGAGAGCGGGGGCGAAACACUAGCGCGGAUUGCCUGAGGCCUUUUGAAAUCGGAUGCUCUUGUUAUUGUGCGUCUUCCUCCUGGAGCAGCAGCUGCCCGAGCGACCUGAUGUACCGUACGCCGCCGGGCGGAGCAUGACGUCGUCCGGGGGCCGGUUUAGAGGGAAGCCCAGCUGAGGUCCUGUUUGUUCAGACACUGUUUGGAGAUCUCCCAGGUCAUGAGCUGACGAGCUGAAGCAGGUGCUAGCGCAGUCCCAGACAGAGAUACAGACAAAUAUACCGUACAGACAUACAGACAAACCAACGGAGAGACCAGUUUCAGAUUGUAUUAAUAACCAUUUUGGACGUCAAAUAUCACAGUUAAAUCAUUUUUAAAAAGGUAUAAAAGGAACUAAACAGUCGCUCUGUGCCUCUACUUGACUUCCGUCCUGCUCCCGAGGGUUUGGU
ensembl:lncRNA